UCCGGCCAUAUCACGUUGAAACACCUGUUCCUGUACGAUCACUAAAGUUAAGCAACCUUGAGUCUGGUCAGUAACUAGACGAGUGAGCGCUCGGUAAUAACCGGUUUUGUAA